UACGGAGGGGGGCUAGCGUUGUUCGGAAUUACUGGGCGUAAAGCGCGCGUAGGCGGCUUUUGUAAGUUAGAGGUGAAAGCCCCGGAGCUCAACUCCGGAAUUGCCUUUAAGACUGCAUCGCUAGAAUCAUGGAGAGGUGAGUGGAAUUCCGAGUGUAGAGGUGAAAUUCGUAGAUAUUCGGAAGAACACCAGUGGCGAAGGCGACUCACUGGACAUGUAUUGACGCUGAGGUGCGAAAGCGUGGGGAGCAAACAGG
rnacentral:rRNA from 1 species